GCUGCGUCACGGGUCGAUUUAAUCACGACCUAUGAGUGACAAUAUACUCGAUGUCGAAGGCAUUGUAACCCAACGAGUGGGGAGUUCGAUUUGGUUGGUACAAAUCGAACGAUCUGCGGUAGCAGCGAUAAUGACGGGGUGUGGAUGCAAGUUGAGCCAUGCUUGAAUGUUGUUGCUACUUUGUGAUGUUGAUGAUAUUUGUCAAUUGUUGCGGUGAUGUCAAGUUGUUUGGGGAUCUUAGUUUAACUUUGAUCUUAGUUUUACGCUUAACUGAUAUCUUCAUGAGGCCUGCACUAUCUGUUCGAUCUUAUGCCAUGUUGCUGUUUGAUUGUUGCCUUACGAUCGGAUUGUUGGUGUAACCGAUGACAUGAUUUGGCUUGUUAAUCUUAAAACUGUGGAUGACACCUUGAUGUUGUUUCGUUUGUUGAUGAAUGUUGUUGCAUGGUUGGUUUGAUGCGGUGUUGGUGAGGACAUUCGUCUCAAGGUGAUGCGGUGUCAUGUUGCCUGUGGAUCCUGGUUUUGAGCUAUUUGAGCUUGAACCUGUGGAUUAUCGGUUGGUGAUACGGCAUCGCUCCCUUGGUUGACGAAAGUCGUCCAAUGAUGCUGCGGUCUGUUUGUUUUCUUCUCGCAUCGCUCGGUGCAUUCUGGGGUCAUUUUGGCUGUUGGCAGCUUGCUUGGCAAUUAAGCUUGGUGGGUUGCUACUGGUUGGGUGUCUUCGGGGAUGUCUACUGUAAAGGUGCAUGAGUGGUGUCUGGUUUGUUACGGGUGGUUGGCUCUUUGCUUGCGCAACAACUUCUACCCGGCAUACCUCUUCAGUCUUGUGUCAAUGCUUGUACUGCAUUGAAUGCAUUGCGGGUUUCUUGUGUUGCAUGCCUAAUUAAUGGUAUCGUUUGAUGAAUUGGUUUUCCUUUCGUCUUGCGUCGCCUAUGCGAUGUGAGAUGAACCUUGAAGCAGCCUUUGUGAUCCACUCUUUUGAUGCAUCCGCAUUGAUAUAGUGGCCCAUYGACCGUUGCUUGGUCUCAUGGAUAUGGAACCUGCUGCGGGCAUGGAAUCUUAAUGGUUCCUUGUGUGCCCAAGUUUAGCUUUUCUAAAWC
rnacentral:misc_RNA from 1 species